UGUCAGAAGAGACCGCAUCCCUGCUCUUACCAGGGUGUUCUCCACCUGCCCUUCCCCUUUGAGCAUUUCUAAAAGGUGCUUUCACAUCGAUAUCAGAAUUCCUAUCUCUUCUUCCACCUGACCUUCCUCCUUCAACAUUUCUGGAAGGUGUUUUCCAAUUAAAAUCAGAGUUUCUAGCUUUUCUUCCACCUGAUGUUCCUCUUUCAACAUUUCUGGAAGGUGUUUUCCCAUUAAAAUCAGAGUUUCUAGCUUUUCUUCCACCUGAUGUUCCUCUUUCAGCAUUUCUGGAAGGUGUUUUCCCAUCAAAAUGAGAUUUCCUACCUCUCCUUCCUCUGUUAUUAAUACCACGUUUUUCAAUGCUUGUCUC
rnacentral:lncRNA from 1 species